GACGAACGCUGGCGGCGUGCCUAAUACAUGCAAGUCGAGCGGACCAGAACGAAGGGAAACCGGAGUUCUGGUUUAGCGGCGCACGGGUGAGUAACGCGUAGGUAAUCUACUCCGAAGACCGGGAUAACACCUCGAAAGGGGUGCUAAUACUGGAUACGCUCUUUCUUUCGACGGAGGGGAAGAGGAAAGGUGGCGUAAGGCGCAAGCCUGCUACCACUUCGGAAUGAGCCUGCGUCCUAUUAGCUAGUUGGUAGGGUAAUGGCCUACCAAGGCUAUGAUGGGUAGCUGGUCUGAGAGGACGGUCAGCCACACUGGGACUGAGACACGGCCCAGACUCCUACGGGAGGCAGCAGUAGGGAAUAUUGGGCAAUGGGCGAAAGCCUGACCCAGCGACGCCGCGUGGGCGAUGAAGGUCUUUGGAUUGUAAAGCCCUUUUCAGGGAGACGAAGGGAUCGUCGGGAAAUACCUGAUGAUCUUUGACGGUAUCCCUGGAAUAAGCCCCGGCUAACUACGUGCCAGCAGCCGCGGUAAUACGUAGGGGGCGAGCGUUGUCCGGAAUUACUGGGUGUAAAGGGCGUGUAGGCGACCCCUUAAGUUGAAUGUGAAAUCUCCCGGCUCAACUGGGAGGAGUCAUUCAAUACUGAGGGGAUGUGAGGACAGAAGAGGGAAGUGGAAUUCCCGGUGUAGCGGUAAAAUGCGUAGAUAUCGGGAGGAACACCAGUGGCGAAGGCGGCUUCCUGGUCUGUCCCUGACGCUGAUGCGCGAAAGCCAGGGGAGCAAACG
rnacentral:rRNA from 1 species